rnacentral:rRNA from 1 species
AUUGAACGCUGGCGGCAGGCCUAACACAUGCAAGUCGAGCGGCAGCGGGCCUUCGGGUGCCGGCGAGCGGCGGACGGGUGAGGAACGCGUGGGAAUCUGCCUAUAGGUGGGGGAUAGCCCGGAGAAAUCCGGAUUAAUACCGCAUAAUACCUGAGGGUUAAAACGGAGGAUCGCAAGACUUCGUGCCUAUAGAUGAGCCCACGUCAGAUUAGCUAGUUGGUAGGGUAAAGGCCUACCAAGGCGACGAUCUGUAGCUGGCCUGAGAGGGUGGCCAGCCACACUGGAACUGAGACACGGUCCAGACUCCUACGGGAGGCAGCAGUGGGGAAUAUUGGACAAUGGGCGCAAGCUUGAUCCAGCCAUGCCGCGUGCAGGAAGAAUGCCCUAUGGGUUGUAAACUGCUUUUAUUCGGGAAUAAACCCCUUUACGUGUAGAGGGCUGAAGGUACCGAAUGAAUAAGCACCGGCUAACUCCGUGCCAGCCGCCGCGGUAA